rnacentral:rRNA from 1 species
ACUCCUACGGGAGGCAGCAGUGGGGAAUAUUGCACAAUGGGCGCAAGCCUGAUGCAGCCAUGCCGCGUGUAUGAAGAAGGCCUUCGGGUUGUAAAGUACUUUCAGCAGUGAGGAAGGUGGGUAUGUUAAUAGCAUAUUCAUUUGACGUUAGCUGCAGAAGAAGCACCGGCUAACUCCGUGCCAGCAGCCGCGGUAAUACGGAGGGUGCGAGCGUUAAUCGGAAUUACUGGGCGUAAAGCGCAUGCAGGUGGUUUGUUAAGUCAGAUGUGAAAGCCCGGGGCUCAACCUCGGAAUUGCAUUUGAAACUGGCAAACUAGAGUACUGUAGAGGGGGGUAGAAUUUCAGGUGUAGCGGUGAAAUGCGUAGAGAUCUGAAGGAAUACCGGUGGCGAAGGCGGCCCCCUGGACAGAUACUGACACUCAGAUGCGAAAGCGUGGGGAGCAAACAGGAUUAGAUACCCUGGUAGGCUC